GGAGAGGUGACAGAGCGGCCGAUAGUGCAGCAUUGGAAAUGCUGUGUACCUCACGGUACCGAGGGUUCGAAUCCCUCCCUCUCCG
rnacentral:tRNA from 1 species